rnacentral:ncRNA from 1 species
GGGAGAAGCAAUUAAAAGGGAAUCAGGUGCAAGUCCUGAACAGUCCCGCUGCUGUAAGUUCCAUAUAAGUUACAAGCAAUUCACUCAUUGCCACUGGAAACCAAUCCGGGAAGGCGUUUGUAACAGGAAUAAGUCAGAAGACCUACCAUGCAAAUAA